CAGCCGCCGCGGGAAUACGUAGGGUGCGAGCGUUAAUCGGAAUUACUGGGCGUAAAGCGUGCGCAGGCGGUUGUGUAAGACAGGUGUGAAAUCCCCGGGCUUAACCUGGGAACUGCGCUUGUGACUGCACAGCUAGAGUAUGGCAGAGGGGGGUGGAAUUCCACGUGUAGCAGUGAAAUGCGUAGAGAUGUGGAGGAACACCGAUGGCGAAGGCAGCCCCCUGGGCCAAUACUGACGCUCAUGCACGAAAGCGUGGGGAGCAAACAGGAUUAGAAACCCCCGUAGUCCCUGUCUCUUAUAC
rnacentral:rRNA from 1 species